AUGGAACCACCACCUUUACUCCUCACUCUCCUCCUCCUCCUCCUCUCCUCCACUACCCUCUCCGCCAAGACCACCACCACUCCCGCCCUCCCUCCAACUCCACCCCCAACUCCGCCCCAACUCACUCUCCAACUCCCACUACCCCCUCAAGCCCCUCCUCAAGCUCCUCCUCAUCAUCUCUAGACCCCAAACAAGUAAGAGCCCUCCAAUCCCUCAACAUCCCAACUUCCAAAGACCCAUGCACCCAACUCCACUCCAACACCACCCUCUGCGACGCGGCCAAGCCCUUCCGCCACCUCCUCUCCCUCACCCUCGCCAACUGCUCCGACGACGUCGCUCUCUCCUUCACCGCCCUCAAGUCCCUCUCCACUCUCCAAUCCCUCCACUUCCUCAACUGCCCCAUCUCCCCCAUCCGCCUCCCCUCCGAUCUCGUCUCCUCCCUCCGCUCCUUCUCCGCCAUCUCCUCCCUCCGCCGCCUCACCGGCGUCUGGCUCGCCCGCCUCCAGAACCUCACCGAUCUCACCGUCUCCAACGUCCAAGUCAAUGCCAGUGGCCCUUUCGUCAUUCUCGGCAACUUGAAGAAGCUCAGGUCCGUCACCAUCUCCCAUGCCAACCUCACCGGUAAUGUCCCCAAACACUUGAAUCUCAACUUGACCCAGAUCGAUUUCUCCGGUAAUGAACUCGAAGGAAGAAUACCCAGUUCCAUUACUCUGCUCGAAAACCUCCAAAGCUUGAAUCUUUCGUCCAACACACUCAAUGGCGAGAUACCCACUUCGUUUGGGGACCUCAUUUCCCUCACAAACGUUUCUCUAGCUUCGAACUCAUUGUCCGGGCCGAUACCCGAGUCCAUUUCAGCCAUUCCCGGGUUAGUACAUCUUGAUCUGAGCUCGAAUCAGCUCAAUGGCUCAAUCCCAAAGUUCCUGUCUGAUAUGAAGAGCUUGAAGCAUUUGAAUCUUGCUAACAAUAACUUCAAGGGAGUCAUUCCUUUCAAUGCGUCGUUCAUUAGUAAGUUGGCUGUGUUCAAGAUUAGUAGGAACAGCAAUUUGUGCUACAACCAUUCGGUUCUUUUGUCGAAAUUGAAGCUCGGCAUUGCUCCCUGUGAUAAACAUGGACUGCCAUUGUCGCCUCCUCCGGCCAAACAGGACAGUUCGGCAGAUGACAGCAGUGAUUCGGAUUAUGAUGACAGCGAUGAGGAUAGUUCGAAUCAGAGUGAUCAUCAUCAUGGGCCGAAUAAGGUUGUUCUUGGUGUGGCAAUUGCGCUUUCUUCCAUUGUGUUCCUCAUCAUUUUCUUGAUUCUUUGCUCAAAGUGGUGUGGGUGAAGUUGAGGUAAUUGGUUGAGUUGUUUGUUGUGAUUAAUUUCAUUGUCUAGGAGUUUAGAGAUUAGGCAGUAAAGAUUGAAUUUUUGAUUUAUUAUACUUGGUAAUGACUUGGAAGAGUAGACGAGAAGGUGAGAGAGAACAAAAAGGAGGGAGAGUGAUCAUUAAUUUGGAGUGUUCUAUUUUUAUCAUUGCUCUGAUGAGGUUGCUGGAGAAAAGAGCAGUUGGUUUUCCAUUAUUACCCACUUG